GAGCACGUAGGUGGGUUUGUAAGUCAGAUGUGAAAGCCUUCUGUUCAACGGGAGAAUUGCAUCUGAAACUACAGACCUUGAGUAUAGGAGGGGAGAAUGGAACUUCUGGUGGAGCGGUGAAAUGCGUAGAUAUCAGAAGGAACGCCGGCGGCGAAAGCGAUUCUCUGGCCUAUUACUGACACUCAGUGUGCGAAAGCUAGGGGAGCAAACGGGAUUAGAUACCCCGGUAGUCCUAGCCGUAAACGAUGGGCACUAAGUAGAGGGAAUUACCGAUGUUCUCUCUGCCGUAGCUAACGCAUUAAGUGCCCCGCCUGGGGAGUACGGCCGCAAGGCUAAAACUCAAAAGAAUUGACGGGGGCUCGCACAAGCGGUGGAGCAUGUGGCUUAAUUCGAUGCAACGCGAUAAACCUUACCGGGGCUUGACAUGUUAGAAGUAGGAACCCGAAAGGGUGACGAACGGUAUCCAGUCCGUAACUUUCACAGGUGUUGCAUGGCUGUCGUCAGCUCGUGUCGUGAGACGUUGGGUUAAGUCCCCUAACGAGCGAAACCCUUGUUUUUAGUUACCAGUGGGUUAUGCCGGGUACUCUAGAAAGACUGCCGUCGUCAAGACGGAGGAAGGUGGGGAUGACGUCAAGUCAUCAUGGCCCUUAUGCCCCGGGCUGCACACGUGCUACAAUGGUCGGUACAAACGGAAGCCAAACCGAGAGGUGAAGCGAAUCC
rnacentral:rRNA from 1 species